GGAUAUUGGUAUGCAAGUGUGAGUGAAAUAGAAUGAGUGAGCAUGUUAUAAAUUUGAAAAAACAGAAAUGGAAUUUUGACUACAAAAAAGUAUAGAUUGCAAAAUACAAAGACCAGAGAAAGUAAAAAAAACGAGCAGAUAUCACAGGAGAGAGCUUAAGAUCAGAGAGGAACCAAAGGAUAUUAAUCAAUCACAGAGGAGGGACCUAGAAAAAUGACUACUGUACCACAACACACCAACAAGGCGGACUAUUGUUUACUGCACAGUUGUUUCUUGUGCUUGUGCUUCUGCUCCUGCCUCCUCGGCCUGUAGCUCCACCUCCUUCACUUCCGGUAGAAACAGAAGUCCAAAGACUGAGGGCAAAAGGGAGAGACAAGGACUAAGGCGAAGCAAAAGAAGAAAGAGCAACGAAAACAGCAGAGAAAUGCUAAGGAAAUCCUUGGCCGAAGUGCAUCGUAAGCUUUUUGGGGCUUGGGCAUGUUAAUGGGGUCACCACCACCACCACCACCACGCCCCCUUGCCUGGCUGCGAUUGUUGUGCUAGAAUGCAAAAUUGAUCAAUUUGGACGUCAACGUCUGGCAGGACCCUCCUUUGCCCGCUGAUGCUCCACCUUUUUUGAGACCACAUCAGGCGCAAAUAUAUAUAAUUUAUGCCCACAACAAUGGACAUAAAAGGACAUGCUAAAACACAGGCGACCGAGCAGAACCAAGGACCAGGACGAAAACCGGGAUGAGGUUUCGGCCAUCGGUUCUUCUCGAACGCCCUAAUUGUGUUGGCAGUCAUAAUGCAAUUCCAGGAUUGACUGCUGGACAUUGGAGCUACAUUGACAGUGAGUGCUGCAGGUUGUUCUCAAUAUCUAAAGGAUU